UACGGAGGGUGCAAGCGUUAUCCGGAUUCACUGGGUUUAAAGGGUGCGUAGGUGGGUUGGUAAGUCAGUGGUGAAAUCCCCGAGCUUAACUUGGGAACUGCCAUUGAUACUAUCAGUCUUGAAUACCGUGGAGGUUAGCGGAAUAUGUCAUGUAGCGGUGAAAUGCUUAGAUAUGACAUAGAACACCAAUUGCGAAGGCAGCUUACCAAGCCGACACUGACGCUGAGGCACGAAAGCGUGGGGAUCAAACAGG
rnacentral:rRNA from 1 species